CUCAGCCUAAGCUAACCUUGCCUAUGACUGCCUACUAGAUCAAGUCUGCACUCUUCAAACCAGCAUUCAAAGUGCUUCUCAAGCUGGUCUCACCACUAGCAAGUGCGUCAUUUCUUACCGUCACCUCUAUGUAUGCCCCAGAAUCCUUUGCUUCCUUCACUGUGCCGCUCUCUGCUAGGCACCCUUCUCUUUAUGAACAAGCUCCCUCAAUCAUCUGAAUUGUAGCAGAUCUUCGGGGCCCAUCCUCCAUCAGUCUCCUCCAUAGGGUCUUCCUCCAACACUCUACCUUAGUACACAAUGCACUUCUCUUUCCACUCUGUAUUAUGCUCUAGACUCUGGCAGCAUGGCUACCUAGCCAGACAUCCACUGCGAAACUCCAUGACUAUUUCCCGUACACAUGCUGCCCUUUUCCACAAUGCUCAGCACUUGCCACACAGACGAUCCACAAACAUUUGCUGACUAUUCCUCUUUUCUUUCAACCUAAAAUUUAAGUGGCUAUUUCUUCCACCAGAAACACCUGUCCUUUGGGCCUACCUUCUCCAGAAGGAAAGACAGGGGGGGGUCAUUUUUUUUCCUCAUAGAACUUGUUAAAUCAGGGCUCAUAUAUUUUCCAUCACAUGGGAAGACAGAUGUUUGUUUUUGAAGAAUAUGAUUGAGAGAAGAAAAGAAUGCUGAUAAAGCAUUUACCUCACCCAAAGGAAGUGCAGUUACUGCCUGGGACCACUUUGGAGAAUCAAAGUUAGAGUCCUGGAUAUGCAAAUCUCACACUUGAAAUUGUAGUGAAAUUGACAGAGUUUCGGUAACACAAGGAAUAAGAAGUGACCUGAGGACAGGAAAGGCAGAGAAAGUCUUCCAUAUGACACUGUGUGACCUAAUCUCUCAUGUUUUUCUUUUUCUUUUUUUUUAACUUUUAAAAACAUGAAACAGGUGCUCCAGCUUGGUAUAAAGAAACUGAGUAAUACUGACUAGGAGAGACCCAGUUUUCCUGUUAGCCUUAUUUUCAUCCACUAAAGAGUCACUUCAAUAAAUAAAGUCAGCUCUUGAUAAUCUACAUAUAGGCUGUUAGAUAUUCAAGCUAUCUAAAAUUAAUUCUUAACAAUUUAUCCACUCAUUACCCAUUCAACAAAUAUUUACUGAACACCUGGUAUAUGCCAAGCACUAAUGCAUAAAUUUGUUUUAAGAUAAGAAAUAAAACGGAUGCUAUAUGAAGUCUAUCAAAAAAAAAAAGUCCCUACAAGUAUAUACCAACUGUCAAACAUUAUUUUUCAUUCUGUUCUCUUUCCUUGAAGGUGAUUUUUUAAUCCCCAAUCAAGAUUUCCCCCAAUUCAUUCCCAAAUACCAGCAUAUCUUCAAAGAAUGCAAGCGGGUUAUUUCACAGUAAAAAUGCUGAUUUACACUAUCACAACACACAUUUCUCCAAAGAAGUGGUUAAAUUUCUUUGGUUAGUAAAAUACUGAAUUCUCUUGGUUUGCAUACAUUUCUCAGAAAUCAUUGGUAAGUAGCCCCAGUUUGCUGGAAACCUAGCCAUGAAGAACAGACAAGUUAUUAAUACAAGACAGAAUGUUCCUCAGUGUUGAGGGACUGCUUCACAGGGCCAGCUCUUCAUAAAAGCUGUUCACAGCUUGACCCCUUAAAGAUGCCUCUUAAAGUAAUGCCUGUGCUGCCAAAGGGAGGGAAACCUGCAUGUUUUGUCUAGGGUGAGACAAGCAAGUCCUUGUCACACUUUCACUCUCUGCUUUGCAAACUGCUGCACUUCAUCUCACCUUAAUUUAAUUCUUUCUCUUCCCCAUUGCCCUAUUCAAUCCCUCAGUUGACAUGUCUGAUCUCUGUAAUAAUAUUCAAGUCCCUAAGAAAGUAUAAAGCUGGGAUUUUACUCUAUUUCUCUAAGCAGAACUUAAUUAGGAAGGUAAAUCUUCUGCCAAGAAGUCAAAUACAAAUGACAUGUGACUAGAUGUCAUCUGAAGCCACACAACCCUCUGUGUGGUAGGGUCCAGUUUGCCAGGGUCUGACAAAGCCAGGAGCUAAUUAGACAGAUGUCUGGUGUUGUAAGUCUUUCUUCCAGAUAACAAUAGAGGAAGUGGCAAGGUCACUGUUGAAAUGUAGAUAAGGAGCAGCCUUCUGGGCUGAGUGGACAUACACCUCCUCUAAAAACGGAGGUAAGCAAAGGCCCUAAGCAAUCAGCCAGACCUUGUACUUCCCUUUGGUGCUAACCCCAGUGUCAUCACCAAUGGCUCUGCCUACCUUAUGCUGUGUUGGCAAUGUCCUCACCUCUCAGACCGAUCCUUGGGGGGUCGCCUCAGUGAUAGCAUACAAACAAAUUAGAGUGGGGCUGGAGCAGGGGAGAACUGGCCAAGAUUGUGUGGUCUUAAUAAAGGCCUGUAUUGUGCUCUGUUGCCCCCAGAAACAGCCUGGAUUCAAAUCAACAUUAAAACCAAAUUACAGUUGAGUUAGAUUUAAUUCCAACAAAAUGCCUUCCUUUUGGUAUUAUCAGCACACAUUCAAUUCAAUUCAGAAACUAUAUGUUUCCUUUUUAAGUAUUAUAUACCAUGGGGGGUUUUGUUUGUUUUUGUUUUUUGUAUAGAGGCAACUGAUUAUUUUUCCCCCUCAACUGUGCCCAAUUCAACAGGUUUAUUACUUAUUUCCUGGGAGGAAGG
ensembl:lncRNA